rnacentral:rRNA from 1 species
AUUGAACGCUGGCGGCAGGCCUAACACAUGCAAGUCGAGCGAGCGGCGGCCGGGUGAGUAAUGUCUGGGAAACUUCCUGAUGGAGGGGGAUAACUACUGGAAACGGUAGCUAAUACCGCAUACCAUCAGAUGUGCCCAGAUGGGAUUAGCUCGUAGGUGGGGUAACGGCUCACCGAGGCGACGAUCCCUAGCUGGUCUGAGAGGAUGACCAGCAACACUGGAACUGAGAAACGGUCCAGACGCUUACGGGAGGCAGCAGUGGGGAAUAUGGCACAAUGGGCGCAAGCCUGAUGCAGCCAUGCCGCGUGUGUGAAGAAGGCCUUCGGGUUGUAAAGCACUUGCAGCGGGGAGGCGUUACCCGCAGAAGAAGCACCGGCUAACUCCGUGCCAGCAGCCGCGGUAAUUC